UGAGGAAUUUUGCGCAAUGGGGGUAACCCUGACGCAGCAACGCCGCGUGAGUGAAGAAGGCCUUCGGGUCGUAAAGCUCUGUCAAGUGGGAAGAACCCGCAUCAGGUCAACAGGCUGAUGCGCUGACGGUACCACUGAAGGAAGCACCGGCUAACUCCGUGCCAGCAGCCGCGGUAAUACGGAGGGUGCAAGCGUUAUUCGGAAUUACUGGGCGUAAAGGGCGCGCAGGCGGCUGGAUAAGUCAGUAGUGAAAGCCCGGGGCUCAACCCCGGAAGUGCUGCUGAAACUGUUUAGCUUGAGUAUGGUAGAGGGAAGUGGAAUUCCUGGUGUAGCGGUGAAAUGCGUAGAUAUCAGGAGGAACACCGGUGGCGAAGGCGGCUUCCUGGACCAAUACUGACGCUGAGGCGCGAAGGCGUGGGUAGCAAACA
rnacentral:rRNA from 1 species